CUCCCCCCGCCGCGCUUCAGGGACAUGGAGACCAGGGGGCUCUCCGAGGCCAGGGGCCCUGUUCUGCUUCAGGGUGCAGGCGCAUGCGGGGAGCUGACCGCCUGCCCGACCCCACAGCAUCCGCUGCCCGUGUCCCUGGGAAGGUCCCCACAUCUGAGCGAGGCCCGAGGCCCUGAGGGGUGCUCAACCUCUCCUUGCACACCUCUACUGAUGGAGAGCUCACCACUUCCCAAGACAGCCCUUUGUGGAAGCUAGACUUUGGAAUUAGAGCCCUGGACUGGACACUCGGAUCAGCGUAGGACCCUGGAGAAGCCACUUCGCUCCUAUAAGGCUACUGAAGCUCAGAGAGAGGGAGAGACGAGCAAGUGGCAGAGCUUCAGCAGUCUGACUCAGAUAUCCCCACUGUGUCUACUCUGCCUCCAUCUGCCCUCUGCCUGGCUGACUAAGGGACUUCCCGGCUCGUGCUUCUCAGAAGGCUCCUUCUGGAUGGAGGGGCAGUGGAGGGCAUCCCCUACUAUGUGCAGAGAGCAGAUACACAGCAGCAGGAUGACGUGUCUAAACGGUCAUUUGCG
rnacentral:lncRNA from 1 species